rnacentral:lncRNA from 1 species
CAUCACAAAAUUAGUAAUAUUCCAAAGUUUCGUUGCGAAAUGUUGUAAAAUGCGGAUAAUAUAGCCUUGUGAAAUUUGCAGUUUUCAGUCAUUUUGUAUUACAAACGGGAAAUUGAUGCCCCAACACCCGAUUGGGCUGUCAAUUUCCCGUGCGUAAUACAAAAUGACUGAAAAACGGCAAACUUCGCAAGGCUAUAUUAUCCGCAUUUUACAACAUUUCGCAACGAAACCUUGGAAUAUUACUAAUUUUGUGAUGCUCUUUCAAGCUGUGACGAAAUUUUUGUCUAG